GGGGGUGAAUUAGGGUCGACGAACGGUUGAAUGGGUACUUGCAUCUCGGUUGGACGCAGCCGUUAUCUGCUCAAAUGUACAGUUGCCAACGACAACCGUGCUCCGGUGGCUCUGGCUGCGUAAGCAGCUCGGGUACCGAAACCUAAAGUCCUUACGCUUAGCCGCUUAAGGCGGGGCUCGCAGGUGCCUGGCAACAGAAACCUGCACU
rnacentral:tmRNA from 1 species